UACGAAGGGGGGCUAGCGUUGCUCGGAUUGACUGGGCGUAAAGGGCGCGUAGGCGGUUCGUACAGUCAGACGUGAAAUUCCUGGGCUCAACCUGGGGGGCUGCGUUUGAUACGUGCGGACUUGAGUGCGGAAGAGGGUCGUGGAAUUCCCAGUGUAGAGGUGAAAUUCGUAGAUAUUGGGAAGAACACCGGUGGCGAAGGCGGCGACCUGGUCCGAUACUGACGCUGAGGCGCGAAGGCGUGGGGAGCAAACAGG
rnacentral:rRNA from 1 species